GAUGAACGCUGGCGGCGUGCCUAAUACAUGCAAGUCGAGCGAACAGACGAGGAUCUUGCUCCUUUGACGUUAGCGGCGGACGUGUGAGUAACUCGUUUUUAACCUACCUAUAUUUCUUGGAUAACUUCGGGAAACCGGAUCUUAUACCGUAUAAUAUUUCUAUCCGCAUGUUUCUAUAGUUUAAUAUUGCUUUUCUAUCUCUUAUAGAUGUUCCUGCGCCGUAUUUGCUAGUUGGUUAUGUAACGGCUUACCAAGGCAACGAUACGUAGCCGACGUGAGAGGGUGAUCGGCGAAACUGGAAGUGAGACACGGUACAGAGAACUACGGGAGGCAGCAGAAGGGAAUAUGACGAAAUGGGCGAAAGCAUGACGGAGCAAAGCGGAGUGAGAGAUGAAGGACUACGGAUCGUAAAAAUAUGUUAUGAGGGAAGAAAAAAAGUGAAAGUAAAAGAGAACGGAAUGACGGUAACAAAAAAGAAAGCAACGGCUAACUACGUG
rnacentral:rRNA from 1 species